CCCCUCCAGUCCUGUUCCUGUUUGCGCACUGUCUGAACUCCGCCGAGGCAGAGACCGACCCGGUAAUCAAGGAGCAUCACUUCCGGGAAGCCGCCCUGCUCAUCGCGCGGAAGCCGGCACUGCGCGAGGCCCUGGGUUUCAUUGAACCCCCGUCAGAGCCUGCACCCGUUCCUGCGUCUAAGCCUGUACCCGUUCCUGCGUCUAAGCCUGCACCCGUUCCUGCGUCUAAGCCUGCACCCGUUCUUGCGUCUAAGCUUGCACCCGUUCCUGCGUCUAAGCCUGCACCACUGGCCCCAGCGUCUAAGCCUGCACCACUGGCCCCCGCGUCUCUGGCUGCAUCACUGGCCCCCGCGUCUCUGGCUGCAUCACUGGCCCCAGCGUCUCUGGCUGCAUCACUGGCCCCAGCGUCUCUGGCUGCAUCACUGGCUCCAGCGUCUCUGGCUGCAUCACUGGCCCCAGCGUCUCUGGCUGCAGCAACUCCCGCCUUAGCCUCAGCUCAGCCACGUCAAGCUCAAGCCUCAGCUCAGCCACGUCAAGCUCAAGCCUCAGCUCAGCCACGUCAAGCUCAAGUCUCAGCUCAGCCUGCAGCAGCUCAAGCCUCAGCUCAGCCUGCAGCAGCUCAAGCCUCAGCUCAGCCUGCAGCAGCUCAAGCCUCAGCUCAGCCUGCAGCAGCUCAAGCCUCAGCUCAGCCUGUAGCAGCUCAAGCCUCAGCUCCAGCUCAAGCUCAAGCCUCGGCCCCGCCACGCCACGCCAAGUUCAAGCUUCAUCUUUACGCCAGCUAGUGGACACCCCUGGCCAGCCACACCAGGCCUCAGUUCCUGUUCCCGUCAGCCAAGUAGAGGUCGUUCCAGUCCCUGUCCCCGUCGGCCAAGUAGCGGCCGUUCCAGUUCCUGUCGGCUCCUCGGAGGAGGACGCCGUUCUAGUUCCUGUCGGCUCCUCGGAGGAGGACGCCGUUCUAGUUCCUGUCGGCUCCUCGGCAGCCUCGCCUUCACGUCUGUCCUCGCCUCUGGUCCCAGCCUCGUCUCCACGUCUGUCCUCGCCUCUGGUCCCAGCCUCGUCUCCACGUUGGUCCUCGCCUCUGGUCCCAGCCUCGUCUCCACGUCGGUCCUCGCCUCUGGUUCCGGUCUUGUCUCCACGCCAGGCCUCGUCUCCACGCCGGUCUUCGUCGCUGUUCCCGG
rnacentral:lncRNA from 1 species